rnacentral:tRNA from 1 species
AGAAAAGUAAGCUAAUUAAGCUAAUGGGUUCAUACCCCAAAUAUAGAGGAAAUUCCUCUCUUCUCUA